UCAGUGGCGGACGGGUGAGUAAUGUAUCGCUAAUGUACCCUAGAGCCUGGGAUAGCUAGCCGAAAGGCUGGGUAAUACCAGAUGAAAUAUCCUGGUCGCAUGAUCGGGAUCUCAAAGCCGCAAGGCACUCCUGGAGCAGGCGAUAUCGUAUCAGCUAGUUGGUGAGGUAACGGCUCACCAAGGCGACGACGCGUAGCCGGGCUGAGAGGUUGACCGGCCACAUUGGGACUGAGACACUGCCCAGACUCCUACGGGGGGCUGCAGUAACGAAUCUUCCGCAAUGCACGAAAGUGUGACGGAGCGACGCCGCGUGUAGGAUGAAGUCCUUCGGGAUGUAAACUACUGUCAGGGGAAAGAAAGUUCUGAUCUACCCCAGAGGAAGGGACGGCUAACUCUGUGCCAGCAGCCGCGGUAAUACAGAGGUCCCGAGCGUUAGGCGGAAUCACUGGGCUUAAAGCGUGUGUAGGCGGGUCGGUAAGUACCUUGUGAAAUCCCACGGCUCAACCGUGGAACUGCUGGGUAUACUGCCGAUCUUGUGCAACCUAGGGGCGAGCGGAACAGAUGGUGGAGCGGUGAAAUGCGUAGAUAUCAUCUGGAACGCCAAUGGUGAAAACAGCUCGCUGGGGGUUUGCAGACGCUGAGACACGAAAGCCAGGGGAGCGAACGGGAUUAGAUACCCCGGUAGUCCUGGCCCUAAACGAUGUCCACUAGAUCGAAGUGCCUCUGACGGUAUUUCGGUCGAAGCAAAAGUGCUAAGUGGACCGCCUGGGAAGUACGGUCGCAAGGCUAAAACUCAAAGGAAUUGACGGAAUCGAAUU
rnacentral:rRNA from 1 species